UCAUAUAUCUUUUGGUUCUGUCCAUUAGACCCUGAUAUUGUUGCUGCAAAUAAGUAUACAUGUGCCCCAAGAAUAUGCUAGGUUUUUGUAUUGAAAUCAGGAGCCACUGAUAAUCAUCCACCUCCUUUUCCUUUUUGGAAUAACUUUUUCUCUCUAUUAUUCCCAAGAUUAGGUGCUUCCCUCUAUUAUAACUUGCUGAGUUAUAUAAAUAAGAUGUACAGAUAAACCUGGGAAGAACUGAAUCUUUACACUAUUGAGUCUUCCUAUCCAUGGAGACAAACUAUCUUUCCAUUCAUUUCGUUCUUCUUUUAUUUCUUUCAUCAGAGUUUUGUAGUUUUCCUCAUAUAGAUCUUGUCCAUAUUUUGUUAGAUGUUACUUAAAUAUUUCAUUUUGGGGGGUGCUAAUGUAAAUGGUCAUGUGAUUUAAUUUCAAAUUUUCUUGUUCAUUUCUGGCAUGUAGGAAAGCAGUUGACUUUUAUAUAUUAACUUUGUAUGCUGCAUUUAUAGUUCUAGAAAAUGAUAUAAUCACUUAGUUUUAAAUGUUUAAAAAUCAGUUCAGAUUUUCUACAAAGGCUGUCAUGUCAUCUGUGAACAAAGGAAGUUUUGUUUCUUCUUUCCAAAUCUGUAUACUUUUUAUUUCAUUUUCUUGUCUUAUUGCAUUACCUGGGUCUUCUAUUACAAUGGUGAAAAGCAGUGAUGAGAAGGGACAUCCUUGCUUUGUUCCUAAUCGUAGCAGGUAAG
rnacentral:lncRNA from 1 species